AGAGCGAACGCUGGCGGCAGGCCUAACACAUGCAAGUCGAACGAAUCCUUCGGGAUUAGUGGCGGACGGGUGAGUAACACGUGGGAACGUGCCCUUUGGUACGGAACAACUCAGGGAAACUUGAGCUAAUACCGUAUGUGCCCUUCGGGGGAAAGAUUUAUCGCCAUUGGAGCGGCCCGCGUCUGAUUAGCUUGUUGGUGAGGUAAAGGCUCACCAAGGCUACGAUCAGUAGCUGGUCUGAGAGGAUGAUCAGCCACACUGGGACUGAGACACGGCCCAGACUCCUACGGGAGGCAGCAGUGGGAAUCUUGCGCAAUGGGCGAAAGCCUGACGCAGCCAUGCCGCGUGAAUGAUGAAGGUCUUAGGAUUGUAAAAUUCUUUCACCGGGGACGAUAAUGACGGUACCCGGAGAAGAAGCCCGGCUAACUUCGUGCCAGCAGCCGC
rnacentral:rRNA from 1 species